rnacentral:rRNA from 1 species
GGUUAAGCGACUAAGCGUACACGGUGGAUGCCCUGGCAGUCAGAGGCGAUGAAGGACGUGCUAAUCUGCGAAAAGCGUCGGUAAGGUGAUAUGAACCGUUAUAACCGGCGAUGUCCGAAUGGGGAAACCCAGUGCAAUUCGUUGCACUAUCGUUAACUGAAUACAUAGGUUAACGAGGCGAACCGGGGGAACUGAAACAUCUAAGUACCCCGAGGAAAAGAAAUCAACCGAGAUUCCCCCAGUAGCGGCGAGCGAACG